AGGAAAGGAUAGUCCGUGUAGCCAACAACAGGAUCCUGUAUGUAAAAGGUGGACCUAUUAUACUUGUUCAAUGGUGCGUUGAUCGCGAACCUCUUGGGCAAGUCCGGAUUGGCCAAGAAGUGCCUCCCGUAGGCGACGAGGUCAGCAUAUCCAUCGGCUAUCACCUUGUUUCCUUCCUCCCGAUCGUAUCCUCCGGCAGCGAUGAAAGUGCCAUUGAACAGCUUCCGGAAUGGCAGGAGGCCAUGGGUGAUCUUCCUGCGUCCUUCCACGAUGGCCAUUCUUGGCUCCACCAUGUGGCAGUAGAGAAACCCCGGGUGCUUGUUGAGCUGCUGCACCAUGUACGAGCCGAGAGCCACCGGGUCGGAGUCGACGCAGUCCAUAUAGUCGAUGAACGGUGACAGCCUGAUCCCCACACGGUGCGCUCCAACCUCGGCGACGAUGGCGUCGAUCACCUCGACAACGAAGCGGCACCGGUUCUCGAGGCUGCCACCGUACUCGUCGCUGCGGUCGUUGGCGCUGUCCUUCAUGAACUGCUCCAGGAGGUAGCCGUGCGCGCCGUGGAUCUCCACGCCGUCGAACCCGGCCUCGAUGGCGUUCCGCGCGGCUCGCCUGAAGUCGUCGAUGAUCUGAGGGAUCUCCUCCGUCCUCAGCCGUCGGGGUUUCGAGUAGACGAUGCCUGAAUCGUCCGGUGUGAUCUGCCUGUCUGUGCUUGAGAUGGGCGCCUGCCCGUCAGGUUGUACAUACCGUUGGUGGAGACCCUGCCGACGUGCCAGAGCUGGCAGAUGAAGAGGGCGCCCUUGCGGUGGACGGCGUCGACGAUGGGCUUCCACGCCUCGACCUGCUGCUGCGUCCAGAUGCCGGGGGUGUCCGGGUAGCCCUGCGCGGUGUCGGAGACGCCGGUGGCCUCCGUGACGAGGAGGCCGCCGCUGGUGGCGCGCUGCGUGUAGUACAGCACCGCGUGCGGCCGCGGCACGUUGCCGUAGGAGCGGUUCCGCGUGAGCGGCGCGAGCACCACACGGUGGGAGAGCUCGAACCGCCCCAUCUUGUACGGCGUCAGCAGCGG
rnacentral:sRNA from 1 species